rnacentral:rRNA from 1 species
CCGGCGCACGGGUGAGUAACACGUAUGCAAUCCACCUGUAACAGGGGGAUAACCCGGAGAAAUCCGGACUAAUACCCCAUAAUAUGGGCGCUCCGCAUGGAGAGCCCAUUAAAGAGAGCAAUUUUGGUUACAGACGAGCAUGCGCUCCAUUAGCCAGUUGGCGGGGUAACGGCCCACCAAAGCGACGAUGGAUAGGGGUUCUGGGAGGAAGGUCCCCCACAUUGGAACUGAGACACGGUCCAA